GACGAACGCUGGCGGCGUGCUUAACACAUGCAAGUCGAACGGAAAGGCCAUGCUCUUGUGGGGUGCUCGAGUGGCGAACGGGUGAGUAACACGUGAGUAAACUGCCCUUGUCUUUGGGAUAACUCUAGGAAACUGGGGCUCAUACAGGAUAGGAGAUCCUGCUGCAUGGUGGGGGUUGGAAAGUUUCGGCGGUUGGGGAUGGAAUCGCGGCUUAUCAGCUAGUUGGUGAAGUAGUGGCUUACAAAGGCUUCGAAGGGUAGCCGGCCUGAGAGUGUGACCGGCCACAUUGGGACUGAGAGACGGCCCAGACGCCUACGGGAGGCAGCAGUGGAGAAUAUUGCACAAUGGGCGGGAGCCUGAUGCAGCAACGCCGCGUGCGUGAUGACGGCCUUCGGGUUGUAAACCUCUGUCGCCGGUGACGAAGCGUGAGUGACGGUAAUGGGUAAGGAAGCACCGGCUAACUACGUG
rnacentral:rRNA from 1 species